GCAUUGUUGAGGAGUCCCAUACUAGGACGAAACGGCCGUCCAGUAC
rnacentral:hammerhead_ribozyme from 1 species